UAAUCCGUGUUUUCCGGCAAAACCUUAAGGUUCUUUGGCGUUUGUUGUGACAACGUGCAAACAUGAGGAUGGGGAGACGAUUGUGAAGGCUUUUUAGCCAUUGAAGCUCUGAACUAAGCUGAUUUAAGCGGUUGUCGCAAAGAAGGAAUCAGGAUGAAAUUCGAAUCGUAGAAGGAGGAUAUGGCUUCAGGAUAUAGUAGGUAUUAACAGAAAAGAUGGGAAAAUUUCAGAAAACGCAAGGAAGAAGAAGAAGCGCGUGCACUAUACGCAGGCGCGUGAGGGCCGCGACUGGGCGUGCUCCUGGCGCGUGGGACAGACACACCGAGGAUGUGAGGGCGCGUGAAGCAUCAUUUCGGUUCCCGGUCUAAUUGGAAGGAAUUGUGUUGAAAUACCCUAUUAAA